GUCCACGCCCUAACGAUGACAACUAGGUGUUGGGAAGCGAUUUCUCAGUACCGCAGCUAACGCGUGAAGUUGUCCGCCUGGGGAGUACGGUCGCAAGAUUAAACUCAAAGGAAUUGACGGGACCCGCACAAGCGGUGGAUGAUGUGGAUUAAUUCGAUGCAACGCGAAUAACCUUACCUACCCUUGACAUGUACGGAAGCUCAUCGAGAGGUGAGUGUGCCCGAAAGGGAGCCGUAACACAGGUGCUGCAUGGCUGUCGU
rnacentral:rRNA from 1 species